rnacentral:rRNA from 1 species
UACGUAGGCAGCGAGCGUUGUUCGGAGUUACUGGGCGUAAAGAGUGCGUAGGCGGUUUUCUAAGUUUGGGGUGAAAUCUCCCGGCUCAACUGGGAGGGUGCGCCGAAGACUGGAAGGCUAGAGUGUGGGAGAGGUAAGCGGAAUUCCUGGUGUAGCGGUGAAAUGCGUAGAUAUCAGGAGGAACACCUGCGGUGUAGACGGCUUACUGGACCAUAACUGACGCUGAGGCACGAAAGCGUGGGUAGCAAACAGG